GUUUUUUAGCUGAGGUUACAAGCAUCAGUGUUCGCCACACCAGCAGGGUUUCCAGCGCCACCUGCAAACACACCUGCGGAUUCCAGCUAACUCUAACCCAAAAGGAAAAGAACAGAACGAAAGCACAUCCUACCAUAUUUAGGCUCACUGAAGUGUAACAACUGAUUCUUUAAGCCUUGGGCGUGUAAGUCUGUGUUUCUUUUUGUUGUCAAUCUAUAAUUAAUCACGAUGUAGAAUAAGAAAUUGGAGAGAAAUAGAAAGUCAUGGAAAUGAACUCAUAAUUAAGAUCAAAUUAGACAGACUUUAUUGAUUCCUAGUGUAAGCCCCAAACCAUCCACACUGCAGUUCAAGCUAAAACCUCAGUGGGA
rnacentral:lncRNA from 1 species